rnacentral:rRNA from 1 species
UACGAAGGGGGCUAGCGUUGCUCGGAAUGACUGGGCGUAAAGGGCGCGUAGGCGGCGAUCACAGUCAGAUGUGAAAUUCCUGGGCUUAACCUGGGGGCUGCAUUUGAUACGUGGUUGCUUGAGUGGGGAAGAGGGUCGUGGAAUUCCCAGUGUAGAGGUGAAAUUCGUAGAUAUUGGGAAGAACACCGGUGGCGAAGGCGGCGACCUGGUCCUUGACUGACGCUGAGGCGCGAAAGCGUGGGGAGCGAACAGG